rnacentral:lncRNA from 1 species
GGGGUAUGAAGUAACCGGUGACUAACAAGUCUAACCGCCAAAAUGAAUAAACAAUAAAGAUAAUGAUAUAAGCUGAAAAGUAACGGCCAGCGAAGCCUUACACACGAAAGAUUUACACGUCAAUAUAAAUGGAAACGUUAGAUCAAAAGGAAUUAAUGAAUGUCUUAAAAAACGAAACUAAGUUCCUUUAAUCCAAAUUAAAGAAACUAUGUAAAUAAGGUUUCGAGGACGAAACCUCUCUAAGGGGGGUAGACUUGUAACACCCCAAAAAUGGGUUUGGUAAUCAAACCGCGUUACUAGUAAUGACGGGUAAAAUACCUUUAGUGGUAAAAAUUAACCCGGUAAGUAUUAGGAAUUUAAAUAAAUAAACUUAAUAUUAACUGGAAAGAGGAUAAAUACUUUGAGAAGACAAAGUUUAUAAAAAGGGACCCGAGUUAACGGGACAUAAAAUAAACGGGUUACAACUCCCGGAACUAACUAAGUUAACUAGGAAUAAUCAACCUAGUUAAUUAAAAGUCUCAUAAUGGUAUGUGAGUGGGUUAAAAACACCUAAAGUAAGAACCUGACAAUAAUUGAGGGGCCAAAGGUGUUAAAAAGCAAACUAGUUUUUAAUUAAAACAAAAAAAAUAUAAUAACACACACUUGUGUGUAUGGAUCGAACAGAACCAGGAGGGGGCGACCACGGGUUUCUCCACAAACCCUAAUUCUCACAAAAUCCUCCAAAUUGAAGCUCAAAUCAAGCCCGAAUCGUCUGCAUGAUUACAAAUUCGUGAUCUCCAUUGAAAUGGGAGUCAUAAGGUAUGUAAAUUUUAUGAAGAAUCUCUAGUUGGAUUUCUAGGUAAACUUAGAAAUCUGAAAAUUGAUGGUUGCAUGUUCGUUAUAUGAUGAAAUUAGGAAUGAUUUUAUGUCUAGGAGUAAACCCUAGUCAUUUACUUGUUGAAUUGAUGUCCCUAAUUGUGAAUUCAUGAUCACCCAAUUACGUGCUAAAUGGGUUUUGUAGAAAUAUGAUGAACACUAGAAUUUUAAUGGUUAAAUUGUGUUAGUAGAACUCCCUGAAGUUAGAUUUGAGGUUUGAUGUUACUACUUGUUAAAUAUUGCGAGAAUUUAAGGAUUUAGAACACUUAAAUGGGCUGGAGAAAUUGGAUGUUUCGUGUUGCACACAAGGUGCUUGAUGAAAUGCUUGAAUAAGAAAAUUAUAACAAAACUGAUUGGGAUUAAAAAUUAUUGGGCUGCAGUUUUUAAAAAAUCAUAUAAAAUCACUGGAAUGACCUGUGAGGUUGAGCCUUAUAUGCUCAGAAAGCUAUUGAAACAUACUACGUUUUAUGUUUGAACAUGUUUGUUAGAUUCUGAUGUUAAACGGGUCAAAACAGUGUCCGAAGUCGGCUGAACUGUUUUGACAGCAAGCUGAUUGGAAGCAUUUUGACUUCGGAGCUGAUUUUAAAAAAAUCAUAAUUAAUUCUAGGAUGCUCGGAUUGAGCUGAUUCUUUUUGGGAUGGAAAGAUAUUUUAGUAUUCUUCAUUUCAUCUUUGAUCACAAAGGGCUAAAUAAGACCGCAAAGUGGCCAAAAGAGUCGAUUCAGCAGCUACAUUGUAAAGUUGCUGCACAUUUUAUUGAUGAACUUAAUCCAAGGAAAGUUGUAUUUUGUUCAUACUUUACCUUGUUUAUAAAACAAUGGUUUCAUGAAUAUUAAGCAUGUUAUUUUGCUUAUUUCAAGUAUUUAAAAUAACUACAAAUAAGCUUGUCAGCGAAGUUGUGAAAAUGAGAAAAAGAAUGAUUAAAGCAUAUAAUACAUAUGGGUAGUUUGACUAUUAAGAAAGUAAAACUGACCUAUGAUUUAGUUAAGUAAAUUAUAUGCAAUAAACCCCAUAGGAAAUGGUAGCCAUAAUAUGAAAUGACUAAACUAACCAUUUUAUGGGUAAUAUGAUAGUUUGACUCUUGACGAGCUAGGUGAAGCUUGGAGGAGAAGAUCAAACGGGAUAAAGGCACGAGUAAGACUUGCUUGGAUGAAAGGGGCGAAUAGUAAUUUGGGUAAUUGCGUCGCCAUAAGAAUAUCGAUAAUGAAAGCAAGGAGUCGAAACGGGUCAUUAGGUUGACUCGAGCCAGGUGAAUGUCGAGAGUCCCGGAUGAAGAUCAAGCAUCGAACAAGAACCGAACACACGUUAAACAAAGCUUCCGCAACGUUGUUUUGUCGUUAUUCUAAACGGCGAAUUAAAUCACAUUAUGUAUAUCACUUAAAUUGUAAAAGUUUUUAACAACCGGUAUUUCUAAUGUAUAUGCAAUUAU